AAGAAGAAAGGGGACCAGUUGCCUUGGGGACGCCUUGUUGUCAGCACUCUGUCCUUUAGGAUCUCCUCCUCCUCCUCCGCUCACCAUAGGUAUUGGUCCUUAUCCCGUGGGAGGUCAAGUGGGAAAGGCAGCCCACAGAUGAGCUCUGGAAUCUCCAUGGGGCAACAACGAUGUCUGGACAGCAACUGCUUUGGAAGUUUCUAGCCCCAGAAUUCUAAUGGUCUGACAUUUCUCUGUUGGUCUAGCAGCAGAAAUGAGACUGCUGAGUGUUUCCCCGAGUCCUGCCGGUGUCUUUAUCAAACACACAGGGCUACAGUGGGGAGAGGGCUGGACCAGCAGAGGAGACCCAGGAAAGCAACCUGGAUGAUUUGGGGCCAGUGAGUCUGUCUCACUGGGGAAAAAUGGAACGAAGAGUUCUAUGUACAACAUCUUGAGUUCUUGGGAGUAAAGGAGGAUGUCAAUCCAACAAAUAGUAAUAAAUAGAUUGUAAGUAAAAUGAUUAAUUACAGAACCAGCUUUUCCCCUCCCAUUGAGUCAAUGUUCCCUAUUCCCUUACAGGCCCAGUCCUCCAGAAAUCCAGACCUCUCCGGCUAAAGUUCAAGAAGCUGCAGGCCAUCAGCAUAUGGCUUCCAUCCCUGGACCUUUCUUUCCCCCAAAGAGAUUUCCUGGAGGGAGUGGCUGCCUGUCAUUUAAACCUUUUGACACUUCUUCAUUUUUGUUCCUAGCUCAGCAGGAGCAGCCAGUUUUGCAGCCUCAUGAAGAGAACCGAGCAUUUGAUCUGAAAUUGUUUUUCAAUAGCUGUAUCUUCUUCUGUGUUAUUGCUUUACAUGGCAUAUGUUUGUACAAUAUUGAAAAUCAAUAAAAGUACAAAAAUGUUCCGUCUUCUUUUAAAAAUGAAACUAUCUUGUUAGCAUUCUGGAGCUGAUGUUCUGCUUUUCCUUUUUUCUGUGUCUGGGGCUGUCUGAGGGACCAGGCUGAGAGGCUCAGCAAAGCGGAUAGAAGAAGGGACUGCCCUCCAGGCCCCAAGAGCAGCAUCUGGCAGACAUUGGGCCAAGGCUGCAGACUGAAGCUUGAGACCCAAGGCUGAGAUCAAGCUGAAUUAUGGGCUAGAUUCCAGUGAGCAAAACCCAGAUUAAAGCUGGAUCCCAUAUAAACUUAACUCCCUCCUCCUCCUCCUCCCUCUGCUCAUCUCACACUCAAGGAUGUAGCAGCUAAAACUGAAGUUUUUAAAAUGCAAGCGUUUGAUCUGAGCUAUGCUGUUCCGGAUGAGACUUCACAGUGGAGGUCAUUGCAUUUAUCCUUUUAACUCUAUCACUUUCAGGCUUUGCCCUGGAAGGUGGCACAGAAACAUUGAUGACAGCCAAAUCAGGCCACCCUGCCUUUCACAUGUGGCAGUGAAAAAGAAGAAGCUCAGCUCAGGCCUUUGCUUCCUCUAAAACCUCCCAGUAGAGAGAGAGAGAGCAUUGGGCAGAGAGAGAGAAAUAAAGAUUUGCUACUCUA